ACUCCUACGGGAGGCAGCAGUAGGGAAUUUUCCGCAAUGGACGAAAGUCUGACGGAGCAAUGCCGCGUGAGUGAUGAAGGUUUUCGAAUCGUAAAGCUCUGUUGUAAGGGAAGAAUAGCAAGAAUAGGAAAUGAUUUCUUGUCUGACGGUUACCUUACCAGAAAAGCCACGGCUAACUACGUGCCAGCAGCCGCGGUAAUACGUAGGUGGCAAGCGUUAUCCGAAUUAUUGGGCGUAAAGCGCAUGUAGGCGGCUCUUUAAGUCUGAUGUG
rnacentral:rRNA from 1 species